GGAAUUCCUAGUGUAGCGGUGAAAUGCGUAGAUAUUAGGAAGAACACCAGUGGCGAAGGCGACUUUCUGGACGAAAACUGACGNUGAGGCGCGAAAGCCAGGGGAGCGAACGGGAUUAGAUACCCCGGUAGUCCUGGCCGUAAACGAUGGGUACUAGGUGUAGGAGGUAUCGACCCCUUCUGUGCCGGAGUUAACGCAAUAAGUACCCCGCCUGGGGAGUACGACCGCAAGGUUGAAACUCAAAGGAAUUGACGGGGGCCCGCACAAGCGGUGGAGUAUGUGGUUUAAUUCGACGCAACGCGAAGAACCUUACCAGGUCUUGACAUUGAUGGACAGAACCAGAGAUGGUUCCUCUUCUUCGGAAGCCAGAAAACAGGUGGUGCACGGUUGUCGUCAGCUCGUGUCGUGAGAUGUUGGGUUAAGUCNNNNNACGAGCGCAACCCCUAUCUUAUGUUGCCAGCACUUUGGGUGGGGACUCAUGAGAGACUGCCGCAGACAAUGCGGAGGAAGGCGGGGAUGACGUCAAAUCAUCAUGCCCCUUAUGACCUGGGCUACACACGUACUACAAUGGGAGUUAAUAGACGGAAGCGAGAUCGCGAGAUGGAGCAAACCCGAGAAACACUCUCUCAGUUCGGAUCGUAGGCUGCAACUCGCCUACGUGAAGUCGGAAUCGCUAGUAAUCGCAGGUCAGCAUACUGCGGUGAAUACGUUCCCGGGCCUU
rnacentral:rRNA from 1 species